CUCAGACAUCCCUGAUGAAAAAUUUAAAAUCAACAACAAAAGGGGCCAUGCAAAAAUGGAUUUGGCCCUGACCUUUGACAUCUCCAUUCUGUCCUUAAAUGGAAAACUGCUCCUGAGAGUCCCUCCUACUUCCAAGCUGACUGUGAAACCUCAGGGCCUCCGUGCGGAUGCCAAUGUCGGGGCUGAGCUAACUGGCCCUUGGGACAAGAAUGAAGUAAAGAAGAUUUAGCCCAGUUUUACAAGAGGAAAGAAAUUCAGAAACUUGGUGCCGAUCGUGGGCUCGAUGCUCAUCUCUUCCACAAGGCUUUCAUAAGCUUUGAAAUUAUAUCAUGCAGUCUCA